GACAGAGGCCUCAAGCGUUAGGCGGAAUCACUGGGCUUAAAGCGUGUGUAGGCGGAUCGUUAAGUGUCUUGUGAAAUCCCACGGCUCACCCGUGGAACGGCUGGGCAUACUGGCGAUCUUGGGCCAACUAGGGGCAACUGGAACAAGCGGUGGAGCGGUGAAAUGCGUAGAUAUCGCUUGGAACGCCAAAGGUGAAAACAGGUAGCUGGGAGUGUGCUGACACUGAGACACGAAAGCCAGGGGAGCAAACGGG
rnacentral:rRNA from 1 species